UGUGAGUGAUCUGGAAUUGCUUUGCAUAUUUUUGUUACCCAUUUCGUGAGAGGAUUUAGUUACAGUUAAACCUAUAACUGUAAAUAUAGAGAAAGUAGCGAGAAAAGAUCCUACGAAUUUUACAACUUCGGCAGUUUGAAUAUGGAUAUAAGUGCAAAAAAGACGACUUGCAGUUGCACUUAUUAAAACUAAGAAUAUAAAGCCGAAAGAUCAGCAAAAACAUUUGGAAAUACUUGGAAAAUUGAACAAUGCGAAGUAAACUGUGUUACAAAAAUUUGCAGAAGUCUUUAUCCAAGAUUUUAAUUCAUACAUAACACGCUGGUUAUCAAAUGCCGGUUGAUCGAGAUGGUGGAAAAAAUGAGACAAGUGCAGCAGCUGCUCGUGGU